rnacentral:rRNA from 1 species
CAGUAGCCGCGGGAAUACGGAGGGUGCAAGCGUUACUCGGAAUCACUGGGCGUAAAGGACGCGUAGGCGGAUUAUCAAGUCUCUUGUGAAAUCUAACGGCUUAACCGUUAAACUGCUUGGGAAACUGAUAAUCUAGAGUAAGGGAGAGGCAGAUGGAAUUCUUGGUGUAGGGGUAAAAUCCGUAGAGAUCAAGAAGAAUACCCAUUGCGAAAGCGAUCUGCUGGAACUUAACUGACGCUAAUGCGUGAAAGCGUGGGGAGCAAACAGGAUUAGAUACCCGCGUAGUCCCUGUCUCUUAUAA